CAAAUGAUUGGUGUCCGGUGAGAGAGAGGCAAAGAGACACGCGCGGGGGUGGUGCGAAGGUAGGACAAUGGGAACCCGUCUAUUAUUUCACUUGUGGGAUUGACACGUGGAUACUCAAUCACGUGACUUCCCACGUGAAACGCUGGCGUAUCUAAUUUAAUUUUAAGUCCUUUGUCUGUUUUUUUUUUCUCCUCACUCCAUUCUUUACACAUCUUAGUCACGUGGCUCUCACUCGCUAUGUCUCCUCGCUAACUUUUUUUUUGAAUCUUGAAACUUUCUGCUUUUUAACUUUAUUUAUUUAUUUUGGAUUUCGUAAAGAUUGUUCAAC